rnacentral:rRNA from 1 species
GACGAACCGUGCGACCGUUGUUCGGAAUCACUGGGCUUAAAGGGCGCGUAGGCGGCCUGUUAAGUCGAACGUGAAAUCCCCGGGCUCAACCCGGGAACUGCGUCCGAUACUGGCAGGCUUGAAUCCGGGAGAGGGAUGCGGAAUUCCAGGUGUAGCGGUGAAAUGCGUAGAUAUCUGGAGGAACACCGGUGGCGAAGGCGGCAUCCUGGACCGGCAUUGACGCUGAGGCGCGAAAGCCAGGGGAGCAAACGGG